rnacentral:SRP_RNA from 1 species
GCCGAGCUCAGUAGUGUGGGCUUAUAACUCAAGUGGGGGCAUCAAUGUGGUGGAAUGUUGGGCUGUCUCAGAUGGUUGGGCUUGGUGUGCUAAUUUCUGGCCUUCCCUAUCCAAGCACAGAGUUGGUUCAUGGUGCCCAAUCGUAAGGAUGGGUGUCUUGGUUCCUAAAGCGGGGUGGACUGCGUGAUGUGCUAAUUUCUGGCCUGCCCUAUCCAAGCACAGAGUUGGUUCAUGGUGUCCAAUCGAAAGGAUGGGUGUCUUGAAUCCUAAAGCGGGGUGGACUGCGUGAGGCUGGUUUCACAGAGCAACGAAUAGCUCCCGCUCUGUGCAGUGGAAGGAUAACAGGCUGGUGCUUGUCAAGUCCAGUAACGCCUGAUGGGCUGCUCCGAUUAAAACCACCACUUUU